ensembl:lncRNA
UUCAUGAAUAGUGUGUGUGGUUUUUUUUUUUUUUUUUUUUUUUUUUAGGAUUUCAUAAUUUCAGUAGUCUCUGUGUUCUGUUUUUAUUUUUUUAUGGUUUGGGUUUUGUUUUUGUGGAAAUGGUCUGACCAGUGUGUUUUGGUGGCCGUGUGGUGUAAUUAUUUAGCAGUGUGUAAUUAUAUUUGUGCCUGAUGUGAUCGUGACGAUUUUGUUUCACCUAACUUACUUAUUUUUUUAUUUUUUUGAGUCAAGGCUGAGUGCACCGAGGGGGAGGCUAGUCCACCUGGGUGUGGGUGCACACAUUUGCUGUGAGUUUGGAGCACCAGGGUUUGAGCACCUCUUCCUAUUUUGUUUGCCGUGCACACAGGUAACAUUUGACUGAAACACCACAGAGGAAAACAUCAGAGUGGAGGGACUCCCUGAUUUCCCCAGGGACAUAGAGUAGGUUGACAUUUUCAUGUGUUGGCCAAGGACUGAUUUUACAAGGACAGAAAGAAAUCACCUGCCAGUCAAAUGGAGAAUGCAGCAGGCUCAGCCCAUUUCCUAAAUGUGUUGGUAAAUUCACAGAUGAUAUACAACUCUACAGUGUGAGUAAGUCACUCUCAUAUGAGACUAAAUUUCACACUAGGUGACUAAAUGUCAAUCUUUAGCCACAGACCAAUAAAUUGUUAGAUUUCACUUGCCAGGGGUUGAGAAUAAGUUUACCACAGAUGCUUUUACUCGCCUACACUUGAACACUGAGAGCAUUUGAGAGGCUGCUUCCUUCAUUAGUGAACAGGAAUAAGGCAUAAGCUGCAAUCUCACUUGAGUGAAUGCGGACAACAUAAUUAAUAUUCAUGAGCCCAACAGCUUAUUAGACCAUAGAGUAUUUUAUAUUACUAUUAGUAGUAGAUUUAAUAGAAGUAGUAAUAUUUUACUAGUAUUGUUGUUAGAUUUUUUGACAUGCUUCAUUGACUGAUGUUUUGUUGUUUUGCUUUCAGUUGUAUUGUAAGACUUUAUAUAUAUUUUGCAUUUUGCUACAAAAAUAUGUGGCAUAAUGUUGAAUAAUAUUAUUUGAUCUUUUUUUAUUUUAUCUUAAUUUAUGAUAUAUUUAACUACAAAAUAUUGUUGCAUAAUAUUGUAUACUGUAUAUAUUUUAUAAUAUCAUACGUUUAAUAAGAUUUCAUAUUUUGAUGCAAUUUUAUUUUAUACUAUUUUGUAUAUUGCUACAUAAAAUGCAGCACAGUAAUUAAAUGAAUUGGUUGAUAUAAAUGUAUCAAACUUCCUAACAGUAGAGUCUUCAUGACAGUGAAGAGUUUUCAGAGCCACACGCUGCCUCUACUGUUAGAUGUCGUAACUACCUUUUACUAAGUUUUUUUCCAUUAACAGCCACUUAAAAGUAACUGUGUAUUCUGAUUAAAUAAAACCAUCAUAUUGAGUUUUCCUUGAGGUUGUAAGGGAUAGAUGUAUAGUUCAUCUUUAACUCAGUUUUCCUAGCUGUAAUGCUGCUUAAUACCAUAUGACAAAGAUGUGGUUGUUAUGCUAAACCACAACCACAAGUUGGUAGCACAUUACUCCCAAACAGUGGACCAGAUAAAGCAUAAAUGCUUCUGAGUGGAUAAAUAUGUGACCAAUUGUCUGCUUUUUGUCUGCAUGUCAUCUACAGCAGAUCACAACAGAAGACUUAAAAAUUGAGAGGUUCCUUGAUAGUGAGGGUCCAGCCAAACCUAGACAAACAAUAUUUUUUAGUUGCAUUAGACAAGGCCUGAUUUAAAAAGGACAGAGAGAAAUC